UGGAGCCCAAUGUGGGGCCUGAGAAUGGGGGAAUUAAUGAGGGAUGCAGUUCGUGGGCCCAAAGUAGAAAAAGGAAAAAGAAAAUAGAGGACCAAAGUGGGAGCCUGCCAUGCUGCUGAACCUCGGUAAGUGAACAGUGAUUAUGGGACAAGAAAUUGGCCAGCAUGAGACUUUUGUUGAAAGUUUAGAAAAGCUUUAAAGACAC
rfam:Cavia porcellus supercont2_5 genomic scaffold, whole genome shotgun sequence.